GGGUGUGAUCAUACCAGCACCAAUGCACCGGAUCCCUUCUGAACUCUGCAUCUAAGCGUGCUUGGGCGAGAGCAGUACUAGGAUGGGUGACCUCUUGAGAAGUCCUCGUAUUACACCCC